CAAUUAUUAGUUUAAUUCAGUCAUUAAUUUAAUUUUAGAGAAGCAGAAAUGCCAACCAGUGGGGAGGUGGCUGUGGUGUGCAGCAUGCGUGGGCUCUGGCUCCAGUGGCACGAGGACAUGCAGACCGUACCGGCUAUGGCUGAGCCACCCUAAGCUGGAAGUCACCCCUUGCUCUGUUCUCCCCAUGCUUUUCCAGGUGUGUUUUGUUUUAUUCUACUCUCAGCACAAGAGCAUCCAAGGGCCACAACAUUUUCCUGUGCUGUAGUCUGAGCUCAGAGUGCAUGGAGGGAUUGGGGCCAGACAUUGGCCGGGGCUCCUCGACUGCAGCUCGCUAAUCAGCCGCGAAAGAGAAGCAGUCGUGAUGCUUGAAUUAGAAUCUGAUAGUAGAUAGUUUGACUACAGCCCUAAGCACUGCCAUGAAAUGCAUUAAGUGACCUGUCACAUGUGGUUUGCUGUUUUGCUCAUCCUCUGCCCUGCAGAGAUCCGUGCACACAGUGACUUCCUUGCAGCGAUGGGAAUUCUUAAAACAGCCACACACCCAUCUCUGCUGGAGCAGACAAACAGACGUAGAGAUGGAUGCUUUGUACACCACGGAUACUUCAUUGACACUAGUUGGUUAUGCACAUCUCUGCGGUACAGCAACAGCCUGGCAGAUCUAAAAUUUUCUGUGAACACUUCAUCAAAGCAUUCAAAAAUUAGGGAUGUCGUAAGCCAGGGAACCACGUCAGCUGAGGACCACAAGAAAUUUAAUCAAUAAGGAAUGAGGAAUAUGGCUCACUGCUUGCUUUGGUUCUCUGCUGGGAUCACUCUGAGUUCCCUUCUGUGGCUGUAGACUUUUUUUUUUGUAUGGCUUCCCUUUGUAUUUUAAAGAAACAUGACAUGGUACAGCUAUCAAAACAGGAUUUUAGAGGGAAUGUUCAGCAAUAUAGCACUUUAAUUGCUGUAGAAGCACUGAGUGUGGGGCACCUAACAGCCCAUUGCAGUGGUCUAGAUGACUUCUCUCACCUUUAGGUUAAUAGUUUGUGUGUUUAGCUGCUCUGAAAUGGGUUUAGUGCCACAUGCUGAGUCCAGUUGGGUGAAACAGCUACAGGAAAGAUGAAUCGUUGAGGUGUUCCACGUGUUUUGUGUACUUUUUUUCUCUCAAGAUGGGAAAAGAAUUGCAGAAUGUAUGGACCAUAUCCUGUAGCAUUCUUAGGCUGCUUCUGCUAAUAACCUCAUCAGGAGUGAAAUAAUUACUCAGCAAUGUAACUUUGCCCCAGAUUGACUACCCUGGCAGGAAGGAGAUGGAGCAGCCAUCUUCACUCCUCUUCACUCUGCUCUGACCUGACAUGUAAAAUUCAUUUCAUUGAAGCUGAGUUUUUACUACUCCUUUUUUGCAUGACAGCAAACAGUGUUGAACCUUCUGUGUCCCAUCAUCAUCUUCAGUUGUGUCAUCACCUCCCAUUUUGGCCUACCCCAAAGCCUGUACAGGUCUGUAGCUCCUAAAAAGGUCUUCAGUGUUAGCACAGACCUCAUGUUGUUUCAUCUAGGCUUUGGGUUUGCAGACCUGAGUGCUCCUUGACCUGAUCACAGUCUUAGCAGCGUGUCUGACUCUCCCUUGGUGGAUGAGGGUGUAAAAUAAAGCCAGUGUCCUCCACCC
rnacentral:lncRNA from 1 species